rnacentral:rRNA from 1 species
UACGUAGGGUGCGAGCGUUGUCCGGAAUUAUUGGGCGUAAAGAGCUCGUAGGCGGUGCGUCGCGUCGGCUGUGAAAACCUGCAGCUUAACUGUGGGCUUGCGGUCGAUACGGGCAUCACUGGAGUUCGGCAGGGGAGACUGGAAUUCCUGGUGUAGCGGUGAAAUGCGCAGAUAUCAGGAGGAACACCGGUGGCGAAGGCGGGUCUCUGGGCCGAUACUGACGCUGAGGAGCGAAAGCGUGGGGAGCGAACAGG